rnacentral:lncRNA from 1 species
CACCACCACCACUCCUGCAGCAGCUGUUACCACCACCACCACUCCUGCAGCAGCUGUCACCACCACCACUCCUGCAGCAGCUGUUACCACCACCACUCCUGCAGCAGCUGUUACCACUCCUGCAGCAGCUGUCACCACCACAACUCCUGCAGCAGCUGUUACCACCACCACUCCUGCAGCAGCUGUUACCACCACCACUUCAACCAUUUUCGCUGUUGUUGCAUCAACUGACCCUCCAUCUUCUAGUGAAGGAACCCUGAAGGUUCAGUUCAGUCUCAACCAGACGUUCAACUCAGAUCUUUCCAACCCGUCGUCUUCAGCAUUCAAGAAUCUGGCUGCCAAAGUGCAAUCUGACGUAAGUAUCAGGGCAAUUCCAUGCCAGCGUGUAUGUUUUAUUUUAUCACUACAGACCCUGGUUCGAUUCCAGGCUGUAUCACAGCGGUCUAAGGCACUGCAUCUCAGUGCUAGAGGCUUCACUACAGACCCUGGUUCGAUUCCAGGCUGUAUCACAGUGGUCUAAGGCACUGCAUCUCAGUGCUAGAGGCUUCACUACAGACCCUGGUUCGAUUCCAGGCUGUAUCACAGUGGUCUAAGGCACUGCAUCUCAGUGCUAGAGGCUUCACUACAGAACCUGGUUUGAUUCCAGGCUGUAUCACAACUGGCCCUGAUUGGGAGUCCCAUAGGGCGGUGCACAAUUGGCCCAGCGUCGUCCUGGUUAGGGUUUGGUUGGGGGGGUAGGCC